AUUUGGUCAGUUCGGGUACAUCGAUCAGACGCCGAACGAACAGAGCUUCUCCUGUCCACCCAAGGCUAAGAACAACAAGAUCAUGUAUAUAAACAGUUGCCUAGGAAACAUUAACCUCAUACAUGAUCUAGGCAAGUACUAAUACAAGCAAUCAACAAAAAAGAGAAAGAUCUAGAUAUUACAAUUUCAUUCAACAUAUACAUCGAAUUUACAUUUUUCAUCUCCAAAAUGUAUACCUGUCCACCUCAAAUACAAAAUAGCUCUCCAAUAUAUACAUCAUCUGUUACUCAUGUACACGA
rnacentral:lncRNA from 1 species